rnacentral:rRNA from 1 species
CGGGACGGGUGGGUAAUGUCUGGGAAACUGCCUGAUGGAGGGGGAUAACUACUGGAAACGGUAGCUAAUACCGCAUAACGUCGCAAGACCAAGAGGGGGACCGUUCGGGCCUCUUGCCAUCGGAUGUGCCCAGAUGGGAUUAGCUAGUAGGUGGGGUAACGGCUCACCUAGGCGACGAUCCCUAGCUGGUCUGAGAGGAUGACCAGCCACACUGGAACUGAGACACGGUCCAG